AUUGAACGCUGGCGGCAGGCUUAACACAUGCAAGUCGAGCGAGCGGCGGACGGGUGAGUAAUGUCUGGGAAACUGCCUGAUGGAGGGGGAUAACUACUGGAAAAGGUAGCUAAUACCGCAUAACAUCAGAUGUGCCCAGAUGGGAUUAGCUAGUAGGUGGGGUAAUGGCUCACCUAGGCGACGAUCCCUAGCUGGUCUGAGAGGAUGACCAGCCACACUGGAACUGAGACACGGUCCAGACUCCUACGGGAGGCAGCAGUGGGGAAUAUUGCACAAUGGGCGCAAGCCUGAUGCAGCCAUGCCGCGUGUGUGAAGAAGGCCUUCGGGUCGUAAAGCUCUUUCAGCGGGGAGGCGUUACUCGCAGAGGAAGCAACGGCUAACUCCGUGCCAGCCGCCGCGGUAAUUC
rnacentral:rRNA from 1 species